GACGUGCUAAUCUGCGAUAAGCGUCGGUAAGGUGAUAUGAACCGUUAUAACCGGCGAUUUCCGAAUGGGGAAACCCAGUGUGAUUCGUCACACUAUCAUUAACUGAAUCCAUAGGUUAAUGAGGCGAACCGGGGGAACUGAAACAUCUAAGUACCCCGAGGAAAAGAAAUCAACCGAGAUUCCCCCAGUAGCGGCGAGCGAACGGGGAGCAGCCCAGAGCCUGAAUCAGUGUGUGUGUUAGUGGAAGCGUCUGGAAAGGCGUGCGAUACAGGGUGACAGCCCCGUACACAAAAAUGCACAUACUGUGAGCUCGAUGAGUAGGGCGGGACACGUGGUAUCCUGUCUGAAUAUGGGGGGACCAUCCUCCAAGGCUAAAUACUCCUGACUGACCGAUAGUGAACCAGUACCGUGAGGGAAAGGCGAAAAGAACCCCGGCGAGGGGAGUGAAAAAGAACCUGAAACCGUGUACGUACAAGCAGUGGGAGCACGCUUAGGCGUGUGACUGCGUACCUUUUGUAUAAUGGGUCAGCGACUUAUAUUCUGUAGCAAGGUUAACCGAAUAGGGGAGCCGAAGGGAAACCGAGUCUUAACUGGGCGUUAAGUUGCAGGGUAUAGACCCGAAACCCGGUGAUCUAGCCAUGGGCAGGUUGAAGGUUGGGUAACACUAACUGGAGGACCGAACCGACUAAUGUUGAAAAAUUAGCGGAUGACUUGUGGCUGGGGGUGAAAGGCCAAUCAAACCGGGAGAUAGCUGGUUCUCCCCGAAAGCUAUUUAGGUAGCGCCUCGUGAAUUCAUCUCCGGGGGUAGAGCACUGUUUCGGCAAGGGGGUCAUCCCGACUUACCAACCCGAUGCAAACUGCGAAUACCGGAGAAUGUUAUUACGGGAGACACACGGCGGGUGCUAACGUCCGUCGUGAAGAGGGAAACAACCCAGACCGCCAGCUAAGGUCCCAAAGUCAUGGUUAAGUGGGAAACGAUGUGGGAAGGCCCAGACAGCCAGGAUGUUGGCUUAGAAGCAGCCAUCAUUUAAAGAAAGCGUAAUAGCUCACUGGUCGAGUCGGCCUGCGCGGAAGAUGUAACGGGGCUAAACCAUGCACCGAAGCUGCGGCAGCGACGCUUAUGCGUUGUUGGGUAGGGGAGCGUUCUGUAAGCCUGUGAAGGUGUGCUGUGAGGUAUGCUGGAGGUAUCAGAAGUGCGAAUGCUGACAUAAGUAACGAUAAAGCGGGUGAAAAGCCCGCUCGCCGGAAGACCAAGGGUUCCUGUCCAACGUUAAUCGGGGCAGGGUGAGUCGACCCCUAAGGCGAGGCCGAAAGGCGUAGUCGAUGGGAAACAGGUUAAUAUUCCUGUACUUGGUGUUACUGCGAAGGGGGGACGGAGAAGGCUAUGUUGGCCGGGCGACGGUUGUCCCGGUUUAAGCGUGUAGGCUGGUUUUCCAGGCAAAUCCGGAAAAUCAAGGCCGAGGCGUGAUGACGAGGCACUACGGUGCUGAAGCAACAAAUGCCCUGCUUCCAGGAAAAGCCUCUAAGCAUCAGGUAACAUCAAAUCGUACCCCAAACCGACACAGGUGGUCAGGUAGAGAAUACCAAGGCGCUUGAGAGAACUCGGGUGAAGGAACUAGGCAAAAUGGUGCCGUAACUUCGGGAGAAGGCACGCUGAUACGUAGGUGAAGCGACUUGCUCGUGGAGCUGAAAUCAGUCGAAGAUACCAGCUGGCUGCAACUGUUUAUUAAAAACACAGCACUGUGCAAACACGAAAGUGGACGUAUACGGUGUGACGCCUGCCCGGUGCCGGAAGGUUAAUUGAUGGGGU
rnacentral:rRNA from 1 species